AUUAAUUGAGCAUGUUACAAUUUGAAUGGGCGGGCAAAUAUUUUCGCACUCCAAAUGUUAGGGUUUUGAAUAGAAUCCCAAAAUUAACCAUUCAUUCAUAUUCCAACUUGCUCUUCUCCAACACCUCCGUUUACUUCCUAAACCCUAAAUUUGUUUCCCUCAUUUCAGUACUCCUGCUGUUAGGGUUUUGGUGUGCUUGUGAUGAAGAGUGAUGGGAAAAGACAUUCAUGGCGGAAGCAUACGGCGGAGGAACUUCCAGAAGUGGAACCUAGACGAUCUUGUUCUUGCUAUGGUGAAAGUAUUUCCCGUUUGGCCUGCUACAGUAUGUUUGUUGAUUAUUGAUUAUAUGAAUUUGGUAGAGGUGAUGUCUGAUGUAUGUUCAUUUGCAUUUAGUUGGGUUUUGUUUGACUGGUUUGUUAGUGUUGAAUAGAUUAUGCACUAGGUUAACUGAAUGAGUUGUUGAUGACGAACUGUUGUCUAUUCUGCACACAGCCAUUUCGGCUUCAUUUAGAAGAUCCAUCUGAUAGCAUGAAAUUGCGAAUUAGUAUCUGGACUGAGGCAUUUGUGUUCCUUCAUAUUAAAAUUGAGACAAGCAUGUUAAAAAACAAUUAGAGGUUGCUCUCAGUUUUGAAGUAACACAACAAAAAUCCCGAGGAUUUCCAGUUUGUAUUUAAAGGUUGCUUUGAAUCUACCAAAUAGUAUAAUGAAAAAGGUAAACUUACCCUUCAUUUUUAUAUGCACUGGUGUGCACCCAAUUGCUUUCUAAAGUUAUAUUAGAGUUUUUGAUAUUUCAUAGUGAGUAUAAAAUAGCCCUGUUCAAGUAUCAAUAUGUUAAAAUGAAAAAGGUCACCAACACAAAUGGGCUAAUCAAAUUGAUGCAUGCUUGUUAUUAGCAUUUUGAUAAAUUCGGAGAACACCAGGCUAAUGAUGUUAGAGAUUUGCAAACAAAAAAUGUUCUUUCUUUUUUACAGAGUUUGCUGAUUUAGGGUUUCAUAUCCCAAAACCCCAAUUUCCUCAUGACAAAUCGAUUAUGACGUGAUUUCAAACCAUAUUUAGAUUGAUCAUCAUGUUGAUUAUUGAUAUCCUCUGUCUUGGCUCGACAUCCAAGCUAAGAGCAUUGGAAGAAGAUGAAUCUGUUUGAAUCACAUAUAAUCUUUCUGUUUGCAAGUGAAAAUGGCAACUCCUCUUAAGGAGCUUCUGAUUGAUGAAAAAAGGGUGGUGCUAAAAACGGCAACUCAGAGCUUGGUGGUUUUGUUGUCGUCGCCAAAGUUGGCAUUAUGGUUUAAAGUUAAAUGCGGUCACAAGUCUCUUAUGAUGAGUCCUAGCUUUUGGGGAUAUUCAUCUCAGCAACAAAACUUUUGACUCAGUUGUGGAUUGCUUUUAAGGGUUCUCUACCCGUUUCACAAAAUAGGGCGUGUUAUCGGAAGGGGAGGGGCCUCUAUUAAAAGUGUUAGAGAAGCUAGUGGUGCUCGUGUUGAUGUUGAUGACACUAGAUGCGAUGAAUGCAUUGUAACAGUCCAAGCAACAAUAGUAUGCAUUUUAUUUUGGUUUAAUCACUCAUAAAGAUCCUUUUUUGAUUCU